rnacentral:rRNA from 1 species
CAAGUCGAACGGGAUUGAUUGUAGCAAUAUGAUCAUGAGAGUGGCGCACGGGUGCGUAACACGUAUGCAACCUACCUAUAACUGGGGGAUAGCCUCCCGAAAGGGAGAUUAACACCGCAUAACAUUAUGAAGUGGCAUCACUUUAUAAUUAAAUCUACGGAGGUUAUAGAUGGGCAUGCGUCCGAUUAGCUAGUUGGUGAGGUAACGGCUCACCAAGGCUCCGAUCGGUAGGGGGUCUGAGAGGAUGAUCCCCCACACUGGUACUGAGACACGGACCAGACUCCUACGGGAGGCAGCAGUAAGGAAUAUUGGACAAUGGGCGCAAGCCUGAUCCAGCCAUGCCGCGUGAAGGAUGAAGGCCCUAUGGGUCGUAAACUUCUUUUAUACGGGACAAAACCCCCCGAUGCGUCGGGGGUUGAUGGUACUGUAAGAAUAAGGGUCGGCUAACUUCGUGCCAGCAGCCGCGGUAAUACGAAGGACCCGAGCGUUAUCCGGAUUUAUUGGGUUUAAAGGGUGCGUAGGCGGAUUAGUAAGUCAGUGGUGAAAGCCCAUCGCUUAACGGUGGAAUUGCCAUUGAUACUGCUAGUCUUGAGUAUGGUUGAGGUGGGCGGAAUGUGUCAUGUAGCGGUGAAAUGCUUAGAUAUGACCCAGAACACCAAUUGCGAAGGCAGCUCGCUAAACCAUAACUGACGCUGAUGCACGAAAGCGUGGGGAGCAAACAGGAUUAGAUACCCUGGUAGUCCACGCCCUAAACUAUGAUCACUCGUUGUUGGCGAUACACAGUCAGCGACUAAGGGAAACCAUUAAGUGAUCCACCUGGGAAGUACGACCGCAAGG